rnacentral:rRNA from 1 species
CCCGCUGAACUUAAGCAUAUCAAUAAGCGGAGGAAAAGGAACUAACAAGGAUUCCCCUAGUAACGGCGAGUGAAGCGGGAAAAGCUCAAAUUUGAAAUCUGGCGGCUUCUGGUCGUCCGAGUUGUAGUCUAGAGAGGUGUCUUCCGUGUCGGACCAUGUACAAGUCCCUUGGAACAGGGCGUCAUAGAGGGUGAGAAUCCCGUCCAUGACAUGGACUCCCGAUGCUUUGUGAUGCACCUUCAAAGAGUCGAGUUGUUUGGGAAUGCAGCUCAAAAUGGGUGGUAAAUUCCAUCUAAAGCUAAAUACAGGCGAGAGACCGAUAGCGAACAAGUACCGUGAGGGAAAGAUGAAAAGCACUUUGGAAAGAGAGUUAAACAGUACGUGAAAUUGUUGAAAGGGAAACGCUUGGAGUCAGUCGCAUCGCCUGGGAUUCAGCCUUGCUUCUGCUAGGCGCAUUUUCCAGUUUGACGGGUCAGCAUCGGUUUCGGUGGGCAGACAAAGGCGCAGGGAAGGUGGCCGCUCCGGUGGUGUUAUAGCCCUGCGUUGUAUGUGCCCGCUGGGACCGAGGAAUCCGGCUCGCGCCUGGGAUGCUGGCGUAAUGGCUCUAAGCGACCCGUCUUGAAACACGG